UCCCCUAAUCCUAACGCCUUGUCACAUUCCCUCUACCCAACAGUGUUCACAUGCCCCUUCUCCAUUUUGAUGAAAGCUUGGUCUGCCACAAUCAUGGUUGACAGUGUGUUCGUCCAUUUUGGGGGUAAGUGUUCCCUUCUUUAUUGUGAUGACAAACGUUUUACUUCACUCCUUGAAUUCAAAUUUGUUUUCUUACCAAAGCUGUGUAUUUGUCAUAUUCAAUUCCCUUCGAAUCAUACCAAAUCUCACCAUUUCGAGUACUUUCUGAACCAAAUCACGUGAAGCCCUGCCAUAACUCCAACGUUCGGAUUUCAAAUCAAAAUCUGCCCGCCUUUAAAACCCUAGUCAUUUUCUUGGCCUAUAAAUACAUCUCUGACUUUCCAGCGGAUUUCAUGGUGGAACACCCUUCAACGGCCUACUCUAAUACUCCUACUCUUUUUUAUUCUUCAACUCUGUGAAAAACCCAAAUAGAUAUCUCAAGCUUUACGUUUCUGUCUCUGUUGACUUUAGCGCAGAUAGAAGCUUUUCAAACUCAUUCGUUUUAAGGUUCGGAUUUAUUCGUAACCAGAGAGUAGAUACGAGGCUCGACGACGCCCCGUUCACUGCCCCACAGCAGUUCUUGAAGAAACUGCGUUAACCUUGUAAGGUGAUACGUUGCUUGGCCCAUGGCUUGACUUUUAUUCUAUAUGAUCUUGUUUGACCGUAAAAACUUAUGAAAUUAUGCAUUAUAUUAUUGGUAGUAUAUGAAAAUGAAAAAGACAUUGAAAUUUGAAAUUAAAUUAAAUUGUACUAUUGAAGGUUUUGAAUGUUAUUUGGGAGUUUACUAUACUAGAAAAUGUUGUAUUCUUUUGUUGGGUGUAAUUAGUUGCUAGACCUUAUAUUCGUACAAUUAAUCCUUUUUUCCCACAUUGGUACUGAUGCCGUAUUUUCUUUCUGUAGCUAGUAGCAUCAUUUAACAUAUCCGGAACAUUGCAUCCAUGUUUGCUGAGUCUACUCAUGAAGUUUGUUUUUAUUUUUUAAUUGUGCAUAUCAAACUACUUUAUGUUGUAGUGCGAUAGUUGAUAGUCCCAAAACCAUAGGUUAUUGCGAACUUAGAACAAAAGUUCCUAAUGCAACUAACUAUUGGGGUUGUGAGGUGCAAUUUGAGGAUUAUGAUAAAAAAAUAAAAGUUACUUUACUAUUUUACCCCACAUUUGCCGAAGCUAAAGAGCGUAUGAGAAUGUUGUAUGACGUCAACUCCUCAUAUCUCACCAAACCUUGUGGUGUUAAACCAGUUGAAGAUGGAAAAUGACUUGUUUUGUCGAAAGUGUAUCACUGUUACCAACCUAGUUGGAGAACAUAGAGAAAAAUAUGUGGAAUCUUUAUACUCUUUAAUGUAUCGGAGUUGAUGUUGCAUUUAAAUUUUUUGUAGUAAAUUUGUUCAUUAUUUCGUUUUUAACUUCUAUAUGCAAGUUCUUCUGGGGUUGGAGUCAAUACACGUUGCUCGACAUUUUCAUUGCAAUUUAUUGAAUGUAUCUUAGAGUUGAUUAGAAUAUUUGUUUAAACAACUUUACCUACCAUGCUAAAAGGUAUGUACUCAAUUCAAGAAAAUGCAUUAUAUUUAAUUAUAAUUUUAUUUGUGUAAUAAUUUUUUUAUUUGAAACUUGUAGCGAUAAUGAUAUUCUCACUAAAGACUUCACAGAUUAUAUAUAGUUAGUUAAGAAGACUAUUAACAAACAUUCACCCUGUUGUAAAACCAGAUGAAGUAGCUGAAUUUAAUGAUUUUAUGCACGUAUUUCAUUUUAAAAUCAUUAACUUCAGCUACUUUAUUUGGUUUUAGAUCGGACACUAAAAUGUUUGUAAAUGGCUUUCUUAACUAACUCUUUGUAAUCUAUGAAGUCUUCCUUAAGAUUAUUACCAUCAACUACAAGUUUCAAGUAAAAAAAAGUUACUACACAAAUAAAUUAUAAUUAAUUAUGAUACAUUUUCUUGUAUUGAGUACAUACUAUAGCAGGGUAGAUAAAGUUGCUUAAACUAACAUUCUGAUCCACAUUCCAAGGUAAACUUCAUUCAAUAAGUUGCAAUGGUGAUGUCCAACAUCGUAUAUUGCCUCUAACCCCAAAAGAAUUUGCCUUUAGAAGUUAAAAAUGGAAGAAUGAACAAACUUAUUGAAUUUUUUUAAAUGCAAUACCAACUCCAAUACAUUUAAGACUAUGAAGAUUCCACAUAUUUUUCUUUUUAUUCUCGAACUAAGUCAGUAAAAGUGACACCCUUUCAACAAAAUCAGCCCUUUCCUAUUUUCACCUUUUUAACACUACAAAGUUUGGUGAGGUAUGAGGAGUUGAUGUCAUAUAACAUUUUUCAUACGCUCUGCUUCAGCAUAUGUGGGGGUAAAUAGUACAUUAGAUUUUAUUUUUUCAUCAGAAUCCUCAAAAAUUGCACUUCACAAUCCCUAAGGUCAGUUGCAUUUGAAACUUUUCUUUCAAGUUCAUAACAAAUUAUGUAUUUGGGACGAUCAACCAUCACACAACAAUAGAAGGCAUCCAAGUAUACACAAGCAGAGAAGAAAAUCAAUUUUGUGAGUAGACUCAGGAAGCAAAGAAGCUAUGUUUUGGAUAUGUCAAGUGAUGCUACUAGUUACAGAAAGAAAAUGCGACAUCAAUAAUAAGUGAGGGAAAAAAGAGCGAGCGGUGCGAAUAAGGUCUAACAAUUAAUACUCCAACAAAAAAAUUUAACAUUUUAUAGUAAUAGUAAACUCCUAAACAACUUUCAAUAGUACAAAUUUAAUUUAGUUUGAAACUUUGAUGUUAUUUUUCAUUUUCAUGUACUACCAAUAGUAUAAUACGUAAGUUCAAACUUUAUUCGGUCAAACAAGAUCAUAUAGAAUGCAUACAUAUGACACGAGGAAGCGAUGCACAUUCUCCCCUGUGGCUAAAGCGAAGUGACAGAGAUGAAGCUAACACUAGGCUGUAUUUUUGGUUCAACAUGGAUUCAUUGGCACGUGUUUUUGCUUGAACAAGCUAUUUUCAUGUUCGGAUCUAUAGCGUUUUACAUCUAUAUCUAAGAGCCAUUUAAGAGCAUUCUCACUAUGCUUUAUCCUUGCAAGGUGAUUGGACUGUGCACGGUAUUUACCUCUCAACUAGCUCAUGGAGCUGGUUGGUGCCUGACACAUCCCAACUGAUCGGAGAACAUAUGGCAGGUUUUUGGCAUCAACUUUGGCGUAGAACCUUUUGCUGAGGGUUUUAAGUGCCUAUUUAUAUGAAGGUAAGAGCUCGAGCGAUUGCAUCCUGAAAUCAUGUGAUUCAUCAACUGCUUUCGAUAAGGGCAACAAUAUAGUUAGCGACUUUUUCGUCUUUGGAAUUGGGCCGACAUCAAGCACAAGUGGGUCUGGGGAGGGUAGUGUGUACGCAGACCUUACCCCACCCUGAGGGGUAGAGAGGUUGUUUCCAAAGCACAUGUACUGAAUAAUAUAAUACGGACUUACAGCUAUACCAAGGAUGUUUACUUUUUGGGCUUAUAAAGAUUGGAUUCACCAGGAUUUGGUUUUGGCAGUGGCUCAAUGAAAGCUAUUUUUUCGCAUCAGUUCCUAAUACGUCCAUUUAGUGAAGAUAUGCCUUCUUUCCUGGCUUUGAACUUAUGGAGCUUCAGAAAAGUUUGGAUAUUCACUAUUUUAGAAGAGCUGAACUAUUUUGAAACGUAAUUUAAUGAAACCGAAAAAAAUACUGCAGUUUAUGAUCAUCAACAGAAUGCUUAAAUC